CACAAUUUUUCUGGUCUCUUCGAUUGCUGAAAAAGUAUAAACUAACGACGGUUGUCUCUUCGAUUCUUCUCUUCUCUUCUCUCUGCUCCCCUACUUCUCAGCUGCUACUGCUCCUGUGAUUCAUCGUUUUGAUUCCAAGUUUUUGGGUAGCUUUGACGAGGUUUGGAUCCGGCAUUAAUGAGCUUUUGAUUGGGUUUACUUCAUGCAUGAUCUGGGAAGGCUUGGACUUUGCUGUGUAAUUUCUUGCCAUGGACAUUUUCGAAGCUUAAGGCCACAAGCGGUUUGUUUUGGUGAGGAUUCUGGAAGGAAUUAAGUACAAGCUAUUUUUACAAUUGCUACUUUUGAAUUCAGAGAUGCGUCUUACACCUUUUUUCUCGCUUUUCGUCUUCACUUGAAUUUUGUUUUUCUUAAAAAAUAAAGGCAUGUUUAUUUGUCUCGGAGUUGCGUUGUUCUAAUAUUGCUCCGAUGUUCAUAUUGAAUGAAAAAAAGAAAAAGAAAAAAAAGGAAAGAACCUGCUUAUGAAGAUUUCAUGAUCGGAAAGAGGCAUAUUCUCGACCUAUUUUUUUUGUUGAGUUUUUUCUUUUUGCAGUUUUAGUGUUUCUUGAUCAGGUCUCAUCCAUAACUACUAUCACUACGGCCAAGCUAUUUGGCAUUGUUGUUGAGAGAAAUGAACGAAAGUGUCCCCUGUAUCUGAAGCAUAAGCCCCGGUCCUCUGUUUAGAUGGACCCUUAUUCAUCUGGAGAAGACCUUGUUAUUAAGACAAGGAAGCCUUACACAAUCACAAAGCAGCGUGAACGAUGGACUGAUGAGGAACAUAAGAGGUUUCUAGAGGCCCUCAAGCUCUAUGGCCGUGCUUGGCAGAGAAUAGAAGAACAUGUAGGAACCAAAACUGCUGUGCAAAUCAGAAGCCAUGCACAGAAAUUCUUUACCAAGUUGGAAAAGGAGGCAACUGUUAAAGGGAUUCCCAUAGGGCAUGAUCUUGAUAUUGUAAUCCCACCACCACGGCCUAAAAGGAGACCCAGUAACCCUUAUCCUAGAAAGACAAGUGUGGGAACUUGUACGUCACCGGUGGAGGUCAAGGAUGGGAAAAUAUUUAAACCAGGUUCUUCUUCUUGCCAGAGUAUAUUGACAGUCACCUUGGAUAAAGAAACCGAGAAUCCUUGUAAUGAAGGGCAAUUAGGAAACAAUGUUGAAUACCCUGAGAAGGAUGACUGUAAUGUGGUUCUCACUCUUCUCAAAACAGCUCCUUGUGUGUCAGCAAAUGAAACUACCUCGUCAGUAACUGAUGCAACUAGAAAAUCAUAUUCUUCUAGGCAGUUUGUCCAACUCCCCCAAGAAGCGGGUAAUCAAGAUGAAACUGCUGCGUCUCAGGUCACUGGUGAUGCCAAAGGAUUUCAGAUGCAUAAGUCUGACAAUAAAGAGCUUCUACAGGAUAAUGCCACAUUCAACAUCUCAAAUGUUGUGGAUUCAUAUCAUCUAAAUGGGGAAUCUAUGGAUCGAGAAAGAAAUGAUGAGCCGAGACAGGACAAAGAUACCAACACAUAUCCAGUUGAUGAUGUCCAAGCCUCCUUGAACUAUCCUCGCCAUGUCCCUGUGCACAUUCUUGAUGGAAACUUGGGAAUGAGUGGAAAAGAUAACUCCUCUGACGUGUCAUAUACAGAAUCUCCAUUUCAGCAGCUGGGUGGAUUUCACAGUGAUCAGAAUCUAUUUAUGAAUCUGGCUGCAGCUGCUUCUUCUGAACAUUACAGUAAUGCAUCAAGAUCUUCUAUUAACCAGUCAAUUCCUAGUUAUCAGCCUAUCUUGGCUCCAAUCUACAAUCAAGAUGAGUACCUCUCAUUUCUGCACUUGUCGUCUACAUUUUCAAGCCUUAUCGUGUCUACUUUGUCACAAAAUCCAGCUGCUUAUGCUGCAGCAAGCUUUGCCACAAACUUGUGGCCAUUUGUAAACAUGAAAGCUCCUGCAGAACAUUCUACACCCCCAGACGGAGCAUUUCAAUCAAGACCGAUGAGUUCAGCUCCUAGUACAGCAGCAAUUGCUGCAGCCACUGUAGCCGCUGCAACAGCAUGGUGGGCAGCCAAUGGUCUACUUCCUUUAUGUCCUCCAUAUCACCCUGGGUUUACCUGCUCUCCAUCAAUGGUUUCUGCAUCUGCGGGGAAUGGCUGCCAAGUUGAAGCUGCUAAUGAUGAAAGAACAGAAGUUAAUCUGGAUCCUGGCUUAGGUGGUCAACAACUUGAACCGGAGAGCUCUAAAACUUUACAUGAACAUAAUAAUUCAGUUUUGAAGUCUCCAACACCAUCAUCAUCAGAUUCUGAAGGGACUGGAGGCGAGAAAAUGGAUGUUGAAAUAGGUGCUGCAGAAAAUGUAAAAAUUGCCGAUGGCACUGAACUGCAUGAUGCAAACAAGUCCAAGAACAAAAUGCAGGUGGACCGUUCUUCGUGCGGAUCAAACACACCUUCCAGCAGCGAGGUAGAAGCCGAUGCAUCAGAGAAGCUCACCACAGGAAAAGAGGAGAUUCAUAUCAAUGGUAAAGAAGUUUCAGAUGAAGUUGAUGUAAUUCAUUCUGCUGGUGACCUCUUAAAUCGGCGCUUUAGAAGCAACAGCAAUGUGAAUGAUUCAUGGAAAGAAGUGUCAGAAACGGGACGACUAGCAUUCCAGGCACUCUUCUCCAGAGAAGUAUUGCCUCAAAGUUUUUCACCUCCACCUGAUCCCAAGAUCAAGUGCAAGAAAGAUUCUUCUACACAGGGAGGAGGUGCUGAGGAAAAAGGUGACGUUGGCGUACAGUUGGUCCUCAACGGGCAGGCACGUGAUGAUACCUAUUCCCAGAAACAGGGGGUUGCUGAUCAUAAUGCCUCUUUGAUUACUGAUGACAAGGACAAGGAGAAGGUGGAGGGACUAGUGAAUUUGGGGCUCGGAUAUGCAAAACUUAAAGCUCCUCGGCGAGCUGGAUUCAAACCAUACAAGAGGUGCUCAGUCGAGGCCAAGGAAAUUAGGGUGUCUCCCAACAGCAGCAAGGAAGAGGAGAAAGGACCAAAGAGACUGCGCGUGGAAGAGGCCGCUACUGCUACCCCUACUCUAUAGCGUCGAGAGGAGAGGAGAGGAGAAGAGUAUGGAAUCUCAAUCCAAUCCAAUCCAAUUGUGGCUGUGAAGUGGCCACCUACAUAAAGGUAUACAUUCAUCAACAACUUGGGAAAUCUCUGACUCUGAAGUGCAUCGACUGAUCAUUCCAUCUGAUCUAAUGUUAUAGAGAUAUGACUCCCUCUCAAAUAGUCUAUGCCACACUAACUAGAUGUUUUCACUUCUUGAAGUUUGACUAUGAUAUGAUGGAAGUUGUCCGGUAGCGAGAUAGUUCGGUAUGUCAGCUAACCAUGAAUGUUUAGUCUGCACAAUGAACAACUUUUCAUCCAAGAAAUAAUUCAUUAAUACUUGCUAUA